CACAGUUGAUCUGCUGUGGACAAAUGAAGUGAAUAUGAGUAUCAAUUCCACCAGCUGUUACAAUCAGGUUUUCACCUGCCAGAGCUUCUGUAGAUGCUCCAACUAUCAUUCCUUUCGUUACUCCAUCCAUAAUACUUGGGUUACCUGCUUUUCCUAUCCCUUUGAUCUUUCCAUCCUUAAUCCCUAUAUCCGCUUUGAUGAUUCCUGUAUAAUCCAGGAUCAGCGCAUUGGUAAUGACCAGAUCCAGAUCCCCAUCUGCACUUGUCGUCUUGACCGAUUGACCCAUACCAUCACGAAUG
rfam:Anaerostipes sp. 992a contig000001, whole genome shotgun sequence.